CUAGGUGUUAGGGGGUUUCGCCACUUAGUGCUGCAGCUAAAGCAUUAAGCACUCCGCCCGGGGAGUACCAGCGCCAGGGUGAAACUCAAAGGAAUUGACGGGGACCCGCACAAGCGGUGGAACAAGUGGUUUAAUUCCAAUCAACGCCGAAAACCUUACCAAAUCUUGACCUCCUUUGAAAACUCUCGAGAUAGAGCUUUCCCCUUCGGGGGACAAAGUGACGGGUGGUGCGGGGUUGUCCUCAUCUCGUGUCGUGAGAUGUUGGGUUAAGUCCCGCAACGAGCGCAACCCUUAACCUUAUUUGCCAUCAUUAAGUUGGGCACUCUAGGUUGACUGCCGGUGACAAACCGGAGGAAGGUGGGGAUGACGUCAAAUCAUCAUGCCCCUUAUGAUUUGGGCUACACACGUGCUACAAUGGACAAUACAAAGGGCAGCUAAACCGCGAGGUCAAGCAAAUCCCAUAAAGUUGUUCUCAGUUCGGAUUGUAGUCUGCAACUCGACUACAUGAAGCUGGAAUCGCUAGUAAUCGUAGAUCAGCAUGCUACGGUGAAUACCUUCCCGGGUCUUGUACACACCGCCCGUCACACCACGAAAGUUUGUAACACCCGAAGCCGGUGGAGUAACCAUUUAUAGAUCGGAGUGGUCAAAAGGGAGACAUGUGAAUGGUGAGAAGCAAAAAG
rnacentral:rRNA from 1 species